rnacentral:rRNA from 1 species
UACAGAGGGUGCGAGCGUUGUUCGGCAUUAUUGGGCGUAAAGGGCGCGUAGGCGGUGCGGUAAGUCACCUGUGAAAUCUCCUGGCUCAACUGGGAGCUUGCAGGCGAAACUGCCGUGCUGGAGUGUGGGAGAGGUGCGUGGAAUUCCUGGUGUAGCGGUGAAAUGCGUAGAUAUCAGGAGGAACACCUGUGGCGAAAGCGGCGCACUGGACCACAACUGACGCUGAGGCGCGAAAGCUAGGGGAGCAAACAGG